rnacentral:lncRNA from 1 species
GUCAUGAGAAAGACAUUGUUUCAUGCACAGAGAAUGAAAUCCAAGAAUAUUGUGAUGGGCUUCUACAGCAAAUUGUAGAUUCUUCAUCUGCAAUAGUUUCUCCAACACAUGGGGAUCAAAAGGGUUCUGUCAGCAACAUUUCUGACAGGGCAAGUGACGAGAUUUUUGACCUGAACAAGACUCCAGAGCAGAAAGUACCUAGGCGCAGAAAGCAUAGGCCAAAGGUAAUUGCAGUAGCCAAGCCCAAAAGAAAUACCAACCCUGCAAGUCAAGAGAAUCAGGUUAAGGAAAAUCCACGCAGAAAAAGGAAGAAUGUCCCAAAAACUGCAGCAACACCAAAGGCAGAUGUUGUAAAAGAAAUGUGUGAUUCAACUGCUGCAACUACAAAAUCCUGCAGGAAAGCUCUAAAUUUUGACUUGGAAAAUAGUAGAUAUGAAAGCCAGAGCAGCAUGGUUUUUCAGCAAGAGAUCUACCAUAUAAAUGAGAAUGCUUUUAAUACCACUGCAGAAUACAAGGUUAAAGAGAUGCAUAGUGGAGCAAAUAUAAAGUACGAUACAAACUCAGCUUUGACGAUCAAUCAGCAGGAUGAACUUGCAGUAGAAAACCAAAGACCCAGGAACACGGAUGAUAUUACACAUCUAUUGAAAGGAAAGGUAACAAAUACUUUCUUGUCAGAAAGGGAAUCAACCAUAACCUUGUCAGAUACUACAGAAGAAGAGCAGAGAGAAAAAUUUCAGGACUCUGAGAAAGGUCCAGCUCAAGGAAAUUCUAGUUUAUGGCAGGAAAGAAAUAGUGGAUGCAUGCUGCAAUACAUUAAUGCAAAUGAAAUUGGAAACACUCUCUUUCAAUCAGAAAUAUGUUUUGAAAACUCCCAGGAGACAGGGGAACUGAUUUGUAAAAAUACGUUUCAGUCCCCUAGCAUUCUCUCCAAUUCCAUUGAAGCAAAGGGUUCCAAGAGAAAAUAUUCCAACAGCGCUGAGAACCAACAUUACUCAUCCAGAAAUCCACUUGGUACUUCCUUGUGCCAAGAGAUUUUACAAGUGGAUGGAAACUUCAAAGAUGCAGAUCUUUCUAAAGGUCUCUUAGAAAAAAAUAAAAGGAAAAGAACUCAAAAUAAAAUCCCUGCAAAAGCCCGCAGAGGAUCUUCCACCAAAAAAAUUUCCAAAGAUAGUUUGCAGAAAGUAAGAAAAGAAGAAAAAAAAGGGUUUCAAUCACACUGUAACGAAGAAAUGCCAAACUACUGUAUUGAAAACAGCAGAUUCGUAAAGCAGCAAAACAGUGGAGGCAGCACUCAUGAUUUCUUUGCUAUUUCAGGUAAUGCAUGUCAGUUUGAUAAAGGAAAGGACUUUUCGGUAAACAAAUAAUGAUAAUUCAGUAUUUGUUUCUUUAUUUUCAGGAGAACCACACCCGAUAUAUUCCACCCUGAUAGACAACAUAAUUUGCCAGCUGAAUGGUCUCAACCUCAAUGAGGGCAACACAUCAGAGAUGGAAGGACAAAAGGCACUUAUCCCAUAUAAGGGAGAUGGUUCUAUUGUACCCUACCAGGAAUUUGAAUUUGCCAAGAAACAUAAACCAAGACCAAAAGUAGACCUUGAUCCGGAAACAGAGAGAACCUGGAAACUGUUGAUGGGGAAGGAAGGAAGUGAAGACCUUGAAGGAACUGACGAGGAAAAGGAGAAGUGGUGGGAAAAGGAAAGAAAUGUAUUUCGUGGACGAGCUGAUUCCUUCAUUGCACGGAUGCAUCUUGUUCAAGGUACAAAACAUCAGAUCCAUAGCCCCAAAACUUGCUGAUAAUAUGCCUCUGGUUUUCUUCAAUUUAUGAUGUUUGACGCUUAACUUGUCAUUACAAUGUUAUUCAUAUAUGCAUUUGAAUCUGUUGGAAUUAUAGGCUUUGGAAGGGAAGAGAGAAGUUACCAAUAGUGUACUGAACAUAUGAAAUGAUAAAUGUGAUACAAUACCGUAAUUCUCUUACAAAUAAUAGGUCAAGUAUUAGCACUACCAGCACAAGCACAAGUAUCUAAUAAAACUAAUGUGAACUCUAAGGGUUUGUUUGGGAGUUGGGAAGCACUGAUUGAGGGAAAAGGGAGGAUAGUCCCCCACCUUGCACGGGGGUUUACUUUUCUCCAUAGAACUAAAAUUAGGGGGGCCUAUAAAAAGGAAUUGGGGAAUGAAUUUGAAAAAAUUUGGAGAGCUUUGAAAAAUUUCUCAAAUCCUUCUUUAUAAUACUCUCAAAAUAAAGAAAAUAUUAGUCAUAAACACUACCAAACAAGGUGAGAGACUCUCCUCUCUUUCUCUCCCCUUCCCCAAAGCCCUACCGUAAAGACACACAACUAAAUUGACAAUAAAUUCUUUAUAUUUAAUUAGCAUCCCUUUGACAUUCAAAUAGGAUUAAAAUCAACAACAAAAACAAAAGCCAGUGAUAUAUUGAAAUUAUUCAAUUGCAAAAUUGUUCAUUUGUCAACAUAUACAUGUAAAUCAAAUAUACCUCUACUAUGCAGGAGAUAGACGCUUUUCAAAGUGGAAAGGAUCUGUGGUUGACUCGGUGAUAGGUGUUUUUCUCACUCAGAAUGUUUCAGAUCAUCUUUCAAGGUAAGCUCAUACAUUAGCAUUAGGUUUUUUCCACUUUUCACCACUCGGGAUGUUUUGCCAAAAUUGCCAAUGCUAGUACAAGAUGAUGUGCAAACACCACAAAAACAUCAUGUUUCAUUCCUCUAUUUGCAGCUCU